rnacentral:rRNA from 1 species
UACGGAAGGCAGCAGUGGGGAAUAUUGCACAAUGGGCGAAAGCCUGAUGCAGCUAUGCCGCGUGUAUGAAGAAGGCCUUCGGGUUGUAAAGUACUUUCAGCGGGGAGGAAGGCGAUGUGGUUAAUAACCGCAUCGAUUGACGUUACCCGCAGAAGAAGCACCGGCUAACUCCGUGCCAGCAGCCGCGGUAAUACGGAGGGUGCAAGCGUUAAUCGGAAUUACUGGGCGUAAAGCGCACGCAGGCGGUCUGUCAAGUCGGAUGUGAAAUCCCCGGGCUUAACCUGGGAACUGCAUUCGAAACUGGCAGGCUAGAGUCUUGUAGAGGGGGUAGAAUUCCAGGUGUAGCGGUGAAAUGCGUAGAGAUCUGGAGGAAUACCGGUGGCGAAGGCGGCCCCUGGGACAAAGACUGACGCUCAGGGUGCGAAAGCGUGGGGAGCAAACGAGGAUUAGGAUACC